UAUAAAAAAUAGUGUAAUACAAAAUAAAACACACUAAUCAUAAUUCAAUUUUGCAUGCUUCCAUUAAAUCAAAAUUCCAAAUUUGUUUUCCUUCUUCUUUUUAAAAAAAAAUAAAAUUAUUAAUUUUAUCAUAGACAGCAUUAAUAAUUAAAAUAAUGAAAUUUAUAAUUAGUCUAUUAUUUUACUAUAUUUAUUUCUUAUGUUGCAUCAAUGCAGUUGUCGAUCAUGAGAAGUUACUUGAAAUAGCUGGUAUUAUGGCUAAGAGUAGAUCGUGGCAUUAUAGGACACACCAUAGUUGGAACAAUUAUAAAUGAUACCUGACAGUAUAAAUCACUAUUAUAAAAAAAGUUUCAAU